rnacentral:rRNA from 1 species
AAUGAACGUUGGCGGCGUGGAUUAGGCAUGCAAGUCGAGCGAGAACCCCGCAAGGGGGGACAGCGGCGAAAGGGACAGUAAUGUGUAGAUUAUCUGCCCUCAGGUCCGGGAUAGCUGCGGGAAACUGCAGGUAAUACCGGAUAACAUCUCCGGAUCAAAGGUGUGAUUCCGCCUGAGGAUGAGUCUGCAUCCUAUUAGCUAGUUGGUGGGGUAAUGGCCUACCAAGGCAUUGAUGGGUAGCAGGUGUGAGAGCACGACCUGCGUCAUUGGGACUGAGACACUGCCCAGACACCUACGGGUGGCUGCAGUCGAGAAUCGUCGGCAAUGGGUGCAAGCCUGACCGAGCGACGCCGCGUGUGGGAUGAAGGCCUUCGGGUUGUAAACCACUGUCAGAGGGGAUGAAAUGCAGGUGGGUUCUCCCAUCUGUUUGACAUAGCCUCAGAGGAAGGACGGGCUAAGUUCGUG